AUUUUAUGGAAGACUAAUAGAAUGUAAUUUAAUGGGAGUCAAACGGGGGCUUAUAUGAUUAUUUAUUUUCAAUUCUAUAACAAUUUAUAAGAAACUUUUGUAUAAAUAUAAAAAACCAUCAAUAUGGGUCAAUAAAAUCUCCUCUAAUUCGUAUUAAUUUGUGCAUCACUUGAUAAUCUUUUUAGCAUUUUUGUAAAAUUUGUUAGAAGUUAUAUUAAUGGUGUUUGUUAGACAAUUUUUAAUUAAAAAAAAUAGCAGAUUUUAAUAAAAUUUAAUGAAAGAAGUAGUUAAAAACUAAUAAAAAUGAAUUUUUAUGAAUGUUUGAUUGAAAUGCAUGGUUAAUUUUAACCUCAACUUUUUGAGUUAUCCAAUCAAGCACAGAAUAGCCCCAAGAAUCGAGCUAGUUGUAUAAUGAAUUUGUACAAUUAGUUUGAUAAUGUAUGAGGUGUAUAGCUUGCCAACUCGCACAUAUCAAACUAAUUGACGUAGUACAUCACAACUACUGUAGUUUUAUUACAUUUAUGUUUCCUAGGAGUUUAUCUUUUAAUGUUUAUUUGUUUAGUUGUAAUAGGACUUUUAUAUUUUAUUUGAUUAGGACUUUUAUAUUUUAGUUAAUUAGGAUUAUAGUUUUGAUUAGUUUUAAUUUCCUAAUACUAUUAGAAGUAGAGAAUAAUUUUGCCUGUAAAUAUAGGGGUAAUGUAAAAUUUUCAUAUCAUCAAUCAUUAGUCAAAUAAUAAAAGCAAGUUAUUCCUACAUAUUUCUUAUGUCAAUUCUUAGUAUAAGAAUUUUAUGAACACUUCCAUACCAAAAUUGGUAUCAGAGCAGAGAAAUUUUCUUAAUCCGAUGGCUAACAAUGGUCCUUGUGGCGGUCAAAUCGUCGACAAUGAAUGGAGGCUCAACAAUCUCGAAGAACGAAUUGAGGGAAUCGACAAAACCCUUCACAACUACAUUGAGUCUUGAAAGGGAUCGCGAGCUCAUGGAAAAGCAAGCUGACGAGAAUUUGUAGACUUCAACUGAUAUGAAUGUUAGUUAUUUCAACAAGCAUAAAACACGGCAACAUGUGGCUAGAGAAUUUCCUCGAGUCUCAGCCAAGUUCAUAAACACACAAGUUAUCAAAGAUUCUUUUCUUCAACAAAACUUGAGGACGACUUUUUUUCAAGUGGAGGGAAUUGAUGUAAUACAUCACAACUAUUAGAGUUUUACUACAUUUAUAUUUCCUAAGAGUUUAUCUUUUAAUUAUGUUUAUCUAUUUAGUUGUAAUAGGACUUAUAUUUUAUUUGAUUAAGGA
rnacentral:lncRNA from 1 species